rnacentral:rRNA from 1 species
UAAGGAAUAUUGGUCAAUGGACGCAAGUCUGAACCAGCCAUGCCGCGUGAAGGAUGAAGGUCCUCUGGAUUGUAAACUUCUUUUAUCUGGGACGAAAACGGGAUUUUUAUCCCAAUUGACGGUACCAGAGGAAUAAGCACCGGCUAACUCCGUGCCAGCAGCCGCGGUAAUACGGAGGGUGCGAGCGUUAUCCGGAUUUACUGGGUUUAAAGGGCGCGUAGGUGGGCUUAUAAGUCAGUGGUGAAAUCUCCGAGCUUAACUUGGAAACUGCCGUUGAUACUAUAGGUCUUGAAUUAUCUGGAGGUAAGCGGAAUAUGUCAUGUAGCGGUGAAAUGCUUAGAUAUGAAAUAGAACACCAAUUGCGAAGGCAGCUUACUACAUAUAAAUUGACGCUGAGGCACGAAAGCGUGGGGAUCAAACA